CCCCGCUGAACAAGGCCCCAACUUGCCCACGAGGAGAGGAGUCCAGAAGAGUGUCUCAGCCAUGGCUGCCCGGCCUGGCCCGCCCGGCCAAGCUGGGUGUCCCCUUAGCCCCUGCGUGCUUUCCUGGGCACAACACAAUCACACAGACUGCUCCAAGCUCCUCGAAGACUAGGAUCUUGUCACGUUUGUAUCCUUGGGCCUGGCACAGGGCCUGGUAACUAGUAGGUGUAGCUGGCUGGCGGCAGCUUCCUUAACAGCAAACGUAGGUGCCAUCCACCCAGCCUUUAUCCCCAGUCCAAGCACUUCAGCGUGGAGGUCUAGCAAGCCCUGGACAGGACCAGCCAGCUAGAGACAGCUGGAAUAAUUAUAGACAGAAACUGCCCCUUGCGAUUUGGUUACUGAGUGGGAAAGUUCGUAAAAGGAAGACGGGAGAAACGCUGGACUCUUCCUGUAUUAAACAGUUUCUGAAUAAAGAGCUGUUUCCCUAGCAUCCUCCAAACUCUGGCCAGUCCGAGCUUCUUUGGUAGUAGUAGAAUGAUGAUACAUGGUUUACACCUAUCUGACUGCUUCAGUCCAUUGCAACUAGGGUCCCUUCUGGUGCUCACAUUGCCUAUCUUUAGCUCUCCGUUUUGUCAUCCCCAGUUGGGGCGUCGGUCAGGAGAGCUGGAGGGGUCGGGGCUCGUACCCCACCUCGCACAGCUGGUGCCCUUG
rnacentral:lncRNA from 1 species